rnacentral:rRNA from 1 species
ACGCGAGGAACCUUACCAGGUCUUGACAUCCUCUGACACUCCUAGAGAUAGGACGUUCCCCUUCGGGGGACAGAGUGACAGGUGGUGCAUGGUUGUCGUCAGCUCGUGUCGUGAGAUGUUGGGUUAAGUCCCGCAACGAGCGCAACCCUUGAUCUUAGUUGCCAGCAUUAAGUUGGGCACUCUAAGGUGACUGCCGGUGACAAACCGGAGGAAGGUGGGGAUGACGUCAAAUCAUCAUGCCCCUUAUGACCUGGGCUACACACGUGCUACAAUGGACGGUACAAACGGUUGCCAACCCGCGAGGGGGAGCUAAUCCGAUAAAACCGUUCUCAGUUCGGAUUGUAGGCUGCAACUCGCCUACAUGAAGCCGGAAUCGCUAGUAAUCGCGGAUCAGCAUGCCGCGGUGAAUACGUUCCCGGGUCUUGCACACACCGCCCGU